rnacentral:rRNA from 1 species
UUCACGGAGAGUUUGAUCCUGGCUCAGGACGAACGCUGGCGGCGCGCUUAACACAUGCAAGUCGAGCGAGAACCAGGGCUUCGGUCCUGGGGACAGCGGCGAACGGGUGAGUAACACGUGGGUAAUCCACCCUCGGCACCGGAAUAGCCCGGGGAAACCCGGAUUAAUGCCGGAUGGCCCGUCGACCCUUCGGGGCUGACGGAAAAGGUAGCUUCGGCCUCCGGCCGGGGACGAGCCCGCGACGGAUUAGCUUGUUGGUGGGGUAACGGCCUACCAAGGCUCCGAUCCGUAGCUGGUCUGAGAGGACGAUCAGCCACACUGGGACUGAGACACGGCCCAGACUCCUACGGGAGGCAGCAGUGGGGAAUCUUGCGCAAUGGGCGAAAGCCUGACGCAGCGACGCCGCG